rnacentral:rRNA from 1 species
GUGUCAGCCGCCGCGGUAAUACGGAGGGUGCAAGCGUUGUUCGGAAUCACUGGGCGUAAAGGGCGCGUAGGCGGCCCAGCAAGUCGGAUGUGAAAGCCCUGGGCUCAACUCAGGAAGUGCAUCCGAUACUACUGGGCUUGAGUACGGGAGAGGGAAGUGGAAUUCCCGGUGUAGGGGUGAAAUCCGUAGAUAUCGGGAGGAACACCGGUGGCGAAGGCGACUUCCUGGACCGCUACUGACGCUGAGGCGCGAAAGCGUGGGGAGCAAACAGGAUUAGAUACCCUGGUAGUCCACGCCGUAAACGGUGGGCACUAGGUGUGGCGGGUAUAAACUCCCGCUGUGCCGUAGCUAACGCAUUAAGUGCCCCGCCUGGGGAGUACGGCCGCAAGGUUAAAACUUAAAUGAAUUGACGGGG